UACGAAGGGGGCUAGCGUUGCUCGGAAUCACUGGGCGUAAAGGGUGCGUAGGCGGGUCUUUAAGUCAGGGGUGAAAUCCUGGAGCUCAACUCCAGAACUGCCUUUGAUACUGAGGAUCUUGAGUCCGGGAGAGGUGAGUGGAACUGCGAGUGUAGAGGUGAAAUUCGUAGAUAUUCGCAAGAACACCCGUGGCGAAGGCGGUUCUCUGGGACGGUACUGACGCUGAGACGCGAAAGCGUGGGGAGCGAACAGG
rnacentral:rRNA from 1 species